GCCUUUGUGGUGUAGUGGUCAGCACUCUCGGCGCGUAUUCGAGAGGUCCGUGGUUCGACUCCCGGCAAGUGCG
rnacentral:tRNA from 1 species